UACGAGUGCUCCAAGCGUUAUCCGGAAUUAUUGGGCGUAAAGGGUGUGUAGGUGGUUGUGUUAGUCUUUUGUUAAAUUCUUCGGCUUAACCGGGGGCAUGCGAGAGAAACGGCACAACUAGAGGAUGCGAGAGGUGAAUGGAACUCAUGGAGUAGGGGUGAAAUCCGUUGAUAUCAUGGGGAACACCAAAAGCGAAGGCAAUUCACUGGCGCACUCCUGACACUGAAACACGAAAGCGUAGGUAGCGAAUGGG
rnacentral:rRNA from 1 species